CCUACGGGAGGCUGCAGUGAGGAAUAUUGGUCAAUGGACGAGAGUCUGAACCAGCCAAGUAGCGUGAAGGAUGACUGCCCUAUGGGUUGUAAACUUCUUUUAUAUGGGAAUAAAAUGUUCCACGUGUGGGAUUUUGUAUGUACCCUAUGAAUAAGGAUCGGCUAACUCCGUGCCAGCAGCCGCGGUAAUACGGAGGAUCCGAGCGUUAUCCGGAUUGAUUGGGUUUAAAGGGAGCGUAGGUGGAUUGUUAAGUCAGUUGUGAAAGUUUGCGGCUCAACCGUAAAAUUGCAGUUGAAACUGGCAGUCUUGAGUACAGUAGAGGUGGGCGGAAUUCGUGGUGUAGCGGUGAAAUGCUUAGAUAUCACGAAGAACUCCGAUUGCGAAGGCAGCUCACUGGACUGCAACUGACACUGAGGCUCGAAAGUGUGGGUAUCAAACAGGAUUAGAUACCCUUGUAGUC
rnacentral:rRNA from 1 species